GUCGACGGCCAUACCGCCCUGAACGCGCCCGAUCUCGUCUGAUCUCGUCUGAUCUCGGAAGCUAAGCAGGGUCGGGCCUGGUUAAUACUUGGAUGGGAGAAGAGGAAUGAAGCUUCCC
rnacentral:rRNA from 1 species